GGGGUGCCCGCGCGCAGGACGGGACGCCAGGGUUUGUGUGGGGGCAGCUCGGAGAGGGGUAGGGAGGAGGUCCCAGGGAAGAACCUGGUUGCCAAAGUCUCGGCCAGUUGGAGAAGAGAUGGGUCUCCCGAGGAUACCCAAGCCCAAGCUCUACACUGUCCCAAGGUGGUUUGUUUUUCUUCUUUCUUCUAUUGGUCUGGACCUUGUAUAUUCUGGGAGGAGGUGAUUAAGGCCAAAUUGCCUUAAGUGGCCAUCCAGCCAGAAGCUGGAAGAAGGGAAGGAUGAGAGGGAAUGAACUGUUGUGUUACGGCUAUUGAGAGAAACAGUGGCAAUACACAGCCAAAGCCCUGAGUUUCUAAUACGGCGCCACCUCUUAUGAGCUGUGAGAUCUUGGGCAAAGUAACUAACCUUUAAGUAUUUGUCUGUAGAAUUGAGAUUGAAAUACUUAUCUUUGCCAGAAUUGUUAUAAGAAUUAAAUGAGUUGAAAGUGUUUCAUCAAGUGUGCAAUGCUACUCAAGUAGGAGGGACUAAGCUACUUCCUUCUCUCACUGCUUGACUGAGCUUCUCUCCAGCCCCACCCCCUGAUGUUUACUGCUUAUGGAGAAAGAGAUUAAGUGAAGCAGGCCCACACAUUCAUGAAGGUGGAAGGAAGAUGUAGCAGGAGAUGGUGGAGAGGGAAACAGAGGAAGACAGGAUGACAGACGUGGGGAGGAAAGGCUGAGCGAGGCAAUGUCCUGACUCACUCUGGCGCUUCCCUCUUUCCCAUCUGGGCUCCAGAGUCUCUGCCCUCAUUCCCCUUCACCAGGUUGCUCAACCCUCCAUCAGACUGUUAGGUCAAGGGUGGACAAACAGACCAACCGGGAUCUGGAUGGCCCCUGGGCAGUACUGACUUCCCCUACCAUUCCCAUGGCAAGAAAAGGGAGUGAUUCCACUAGCAGACUCCCCUACCCUGCAGUGAGACAGCCUGUAGGAAGCCUCAACUCCCGACCCAUGGCCUGUGGUGAGAGGUGCUAACAACAUGACCUGCUUUCAUCUUGACCUUCCCAGCCCACCCAGAGAAAAGGGAAUCUUGGCUAAAAAAAGGCUGGAAGAGGGGAGAACCCUGGCACUGCGGGUGGGGCUGGGAGGAGCCCAGGCAACCUUACUGGUGAGAAUCUCAUGGCUCUUCAAGGUGAAUAUGAUGAUGAUUUCCCUGGGGUUUCUUUCAAUACUCAGAAGCCGCCCCGAGUUGGAAAGCACAUGCAUACUUGGGGAGGCCAGGGGAGGAAAAGGGGGGCGGCUCACUCUGACAGUAAAUGAAGAAAGUGGAAACAAAUUCAAGGAGCAGGCAGAGCUCCCGGUUUCACCAGAGCCCAACGGUUGGUAAUAAGGAUGAGAACAAUGUGCCUUCACUUCCUGGGAUCAGAACAGCACAUGGCCGCACAUGUACGGGUAUGCAUGUGCUUCCAUAAUCAUAUACUUUCCCAGCUUCUACUCUGCCUGUGGUCUAAUUUCAACUCCUUCAGCUGCUGUACCCACCCAUAAAAUUAUGAGUGUAAAAGCACUUUGCAAACUGACUGCUAAGCUGGAUGCGUAGGGGAAAGCAGAGAAAAGGUGAUUUACUGGGACACAGAGACACAGGCUGGAAGAGAUAGCAUGUGUUUCCUUAAAAUUUGAAGCAUUUGGCUGGGCACAGUGGCUCACACCUGUAAUCCCUGCACUUUGGGAGGUAAAGGCAAGAGGAUUUCCUGGGCCCAAGAGUUAGAGGCUGCAGUGAGCUAUGAUUGUGCCAUUGUACUCCAGCCUGGGAGACAGAAACCCCCUCUCUUAAAAAAAUAAAAAAAUAAAAAAUGGAACCAUUGCUCUGAGUUUCUAAUAGGGGGAGU
rnacentral:lncRNA from 1 species